rnacentral:rRNA from 1 species
UACGAAGGGGGCUAGCGUUGCUCGGAAUUACUGGGCGUAAAGGGCGCGUAGGCGGAUCGUUUAGUCCGAGGUGAAAGCCCAGGGCUCAACCUUGGAAUUGCCUUUGAUACUGGCUGUCUUGAGUACGGGAGAGGUGAGUGGAACUCCGAGUGUAGAGGUGAAAUUCGUAGAUAUUCGCAAGAACACCAGUGGCGAAGGCGGCUCACUGGCCCGAUACUGACGCUGAGGCACGAAAGCGUGGGGAGCAAACAGG